rnacentral:miRNA from 1 species
UUACAAGAGCAAACUGAAUUCAAG